UGCAAGUCGAACGCACAGCGAAAGGUGCUUGCACCUUUCAAGUGAGUGGCGAACGGGUGAGUAACACGUGGACAACCUGCCUCAAGGCUGGGGAUAACAUUUGGAAACAGAUGCUAAUACCGAAUAAAACUUAGUGUCGCAUGACACAAAGUUAAAAGGCGCUUCGGCGUCACCUAGAGAUGGAUCCGCGGUGCAUUAGUUAGUUGGUGGGGUAAAGGCCUACCAAGACAAUGAUGCAUAGCCGAGUUGAGAGACUGAUCGGCCACAUUGGGACUGAGACACGGCCCAAACUCCUACGGGAGGCUGCAGUAGGGAAUCUUCCACAAUGGGCGAAAGCCUGAUGGAGCAACGCCGCGUGUGUGAUGAAGGCUUUCGGGUCGUAAAGCACUGUUGUAUGGGAAGAACAGCUAGAAUAGGAAAUGAUUUUAGUUUGACGGUACCAUACCAGAAAGGGACGGCUAAAUACGUGCCAGCAGCCGCGGUAAUACGUAUGUCCCGAGCGUUAUCCGGAUUUAUUGGGCGUAAAGCGAGCGCAGACGGUUUAUUAAGUCUGAUGUGAAAGCCCGGAGCUCAACUCCGGAAUGGCAUUGGAAACUGGUUAACUUGAGUGCAGUAGAGGUAAGUGGAACUCCAUGUGUAGCGGUG
rnacentral:rRNA from 1 species